AGAGUUUGAUCCUGGCUCAGGAUGAACGCUGGCGGCAUGCCUAAUACAUGCAAGUCGAACGAAGACUGUUGAAAGCUUGCUUUUGACAGACUUAGUGGCGAACGGGUGAGUAACACGUAGGGAACCUGCCCAUGUACCCGGGAUAACAGAUGGAAACGUCUGCUAAAACCGGAUAGGUAUAGACAAGGCAUCUUGACUAUAUUAAAGGACCUUCGGGUGCGGACAUGGAUGGACCUGCGGCGUAUUAGCCAGUUGGCGGGUAACGGCCCACCAAAGCGAUGAUACGUAGCCGGCCUGAGAGGGUAGACGGCCACAUUGGGACUGAGACACGGCCCAAACUCCUACGGGAGGCAGCAGUAGGGAAUUUUCGUCAAUGGGGGAAACCCUGAACGAGCAAUGCCGCGUGAGUGAAGAAGGCCUUCGGGUCGUAAAGCUCUGUUGUAAGAGAAAAACGGUAAUGAUAGGAAAUGAUCAUUAAGUGAUGGUAUCUUACGAGGAAGCCACGGCUAACUACGUG
rnacentral:rRNA from 1 species